AUAAGGGCUGAAUGUACACAGUGAUAUGCUCCUUCAAAUAUGUAAGUUUAUCAGUCCAUCGGUUUUUCUUUCCAUCAUUAUAUAAUGUGGGGUGUUCGAGCGGUAUAUUUCAUCACUACCCUUUUAAAGUCUAAGUUGGUGAAACUAUAUAGUUCAGAAUCUUAAGGACUUAGAAAACAGAGAAGUGGUAAUAAUAUUUUUCAAUGGUAUUAACAGAAUAACUGGGUGCAAUUCAGCAAUACAUCUAUAGGUUCAUCCUGAAACAGUACAGGUAUAUAUAUGGUCUCACUAUCUGCAAUAGAAUUAUGAUUCAAGAACCAAUAGUCUGCUUCAUUAUUUAUCCUGACUUCUUCAUCCAUUCACAUUCAGUUUCUUGCAAGAUGCAGUGGAUCGGCCAUGUUCAGAUAGAGCAUGGAGAAGGUAAUGCCAGCAGCAGGCAUCUAAUUCAAGAUCUGAAAAUUUGUGCCGCGUUCGUCCCCCCGCUAAGUUACCUUAGCCCUCUUUUUUUCACGCGCACGCUUCCCAAGCUGUUAAACGGUGUAUUUUUUGCAAAGAAAAUUUAUAGGAAAGUUGUUUUAAAAAAUCGUAUAAAUAUAUUUUGUAUUUUUUAAUAGUUAAUAAUUAAUUAAUCAUGUACUAAUCUAUUAGUACGUUUUCCACGCUUAAUAAGUUAACUUACACCCCCUUACCCGAACACAGCACUAU
rnacentral:lncRNA from 1 species